CGAAUUACAAAAUAAAGAGAGCUAUCUGUCGACAGUCUAGUUUUUUAUUACUGUCAUGGAAUUGCUCUCUUUAUAUAGUAUUCG
rfam:Stomoxys calcitrans breed 8C7A2A5H3J4 unplaced genomic scaffold Scaffold41, whole genome shotgun sequence.